UCUGGCCCCUCUUCUCGAUCUGGAGGAAAUCGUCGCCGCCGUCGCCAUGGGUUCGCCGCCCGCAUAGCCACCGAGCACCCCGCAGCAAUCCACCGCGUCCACCGACACCGCCGUCGACUCCCUUGUCAUCGGCAACAGCGUGUUGGAGUUGGGAGCCCCUGCAUCACCCUCGACGCCGCCCUCUUCUUCCUUGGGUCACCGGCAAAUCUCGGCGAUUCCGGCAAGCCUGCAGCUACUAAGCCGUCACCGGGCCCCCUUGCGCCUCCCCAGUGAGCUCCUCCUCUGAAUCCCCCUUACCCCGAUCUCGAUCCGUCGUCGUAGUCGCCUGUAUGAGCCGGUGGCCGCCAUGGCUGUAGUUCAACGUCCGCGUAUGUGCUCCUGCUGUUCCUUGUGAUGCUUCCGCUGCUGCCCCUGCUCUGCCUUGUUGCUUUGCUGCCUGCUGUCGCUACAGCCGGCCCGCCGGCGACCGCAUCCACUUCCGCUCGCCAAUGGCUACCCCCGCCGCUGCUCCCCCAUGCCGUCCACGCGCGCGCCACGCCCGGUCGGCCAUGCCCGAGUGCUGCUGCUACUGCUAUUUGUGCUCGUUACUGCUGCCUGCUGCUACCCAUGCCGCAACUGCUCUUCUCUACUGCUUCUCUGCUACUGCAGCUUUGCCGCUGCUGGCGCCGCCGCCGCUGCCGUGGCUGCGCCGCGUCUUGCUAUACUGCUUUGCUGCUGUUCCUAGCCGCUACCUCUGCUGCUCCAUGUUGCCUGCGCUAGCGCAUGCUCGCUGCGGUCCAUGCACCUCGUGUGCGUGCUGGCCAUGGUCGUGUGCCUGUGUGUGCACAACCAAGUGCAUGAUGGCCGUGGCAACACAGCCAUGGGCAUAGCCGGUUGUGCCACUGCCACAUGUGGCUGGCCGUUUAAUUAUUCUAAUUAGGUAUUAGUGGUAACUUUAGAUGCUAAUUAGAGUAUGUCUUGUGGGUCCCCUUGCUAAAUAAACCUUUUUAGCACUUUGGUUAAAAUAUCAGUCUAUAACAGGUGGACUCAGUCAACACCUUGACCAGUCAACACAUUGACCAGUCAACUGCUGAGUCAGCAGUCGACCAGGCCUACAUGUCAGCCUCUCCAUGCCACUACUGGGUACACUCUCUGUGUACCGGUAGCAAUUUAACAAUUUAUUUUCGAAUUAAUAAUAAUUUUAGAAUAUUGUUUAAAUCUUUGAAAAAUUGUAUAAAAUAAUCCGUAAUUCGGAUGGAAAAGUUUUAUACAUGAAAGUUGCUCAGAAAAGCAAGACUAAUCCGGAUACGCUCUCCAUUUGCUUGUCGCAUGCCUCUAGCAUAGCGAACAUGCAACCUUUCCCCUCUGUUUCAUCUGUCCAAAAAAUGCCUAACCCCGGGAAAAUUUCUCGGAUGUUAUCCCCCUUCGCCGGUAUCGUGUAGCACUGCGUUAGAGCACCCCUAGCGCUGCUUAUUGCAUGUCAAGCAUCUGUUUGCUCUGUAUUUACUAUUUCUCCCCCCUUUUCUCUUCGGUAGACCCCGUGAUGGCUGCCAAUGCCGCUGUGAUUGACUACGUCACCGACGACCCCUCCUUCUCGUCUGAGCAACCAGGCAAGCCCCCCCUUUGAUCAUCCUGAUAUCGCCCAUUUCCUUUCUCUCAUGCUUGCAUUAGAUUUUGCUACUGUAAUUGUUUGCUCCUAUUCUGAUGCAUAGCCUGCUUUUGUAACCUGCUUAUUGUUACCUACCUGCUUAUCCUAAACUGCUUAGUAUAGGUUGGUUAGUGAUCCAUCAGUGACCCCCACCAUGUCCUUUUUGCCCCUGCUUCAUCAUCAAAGACCCGAUCAACGGGAUCGAAGACCAGGUCCCGGCACCGCACAUCACUUUCCCCUUAGUUGCUCGACACUACUACGUUACUAUCGAGUGCCGAGGGUGAGACCUCAUCAGCACUUCUGAUGUUAGCCCUGUAGUGUAGCUAUUCGGUCGUGGUCAUCGAGGGUGAUUCUGCCUUAACCACUUCUGAUACGACUCUGUCGUGCAACCCCUCAAGUGUGAACCUCGAGGGUGGAUCCUCUUACAUUCACCUUGAUGAUUACAUCGAGUGGAAUCCAUCAAGGGUGAUUCCUAAGGUUUUCCCCUUGGUGUUAGACACACGGUUACUAUGGUUACUAUGACUUUACCCUGAACCAUGUUACUAAAGACGGGUCACCCCUGAGGGGUACCCGAGCGAGCAUAUUUGCGAGUGAUGAGGAGUCGGGUUGACCAGGAGGGUGCCCGCAAGAUAAUUACGAGGCGUGGCCGGGCAUUCUUAGCCCUGGCCGCAAGUCCUCGAGACAGGGCGACGGGGUCACAUCUUUCGUGAUUCUCUGCUUGUUACCGCGCGUUCCUAAUCCACUACGAUUUGGAUAUUUGAUCCGAGGGGCCUCUGGCCUGAUAGCACUAACCAUCAUGUGGGCAUAGUAUGGGCAUUCUGCGUUGUAUACAUCAGCCGAAGCUUAAUAGAUGUCAGCGACUGAGCGGCGUGCGCCGGGUUGGACUGCGUAAGCACCUGCCUUUUUGAAGGAGGUAGCUAGGUCUCCUCACCGGCCGCGUACGCAACGUGCAAGAGUUCUCGGGGCGAUGGACCAUGACCCCUCGGGGCAUAGGUUUAGUCCGGCGUGUUGACCUCUCUAUUAAGCCUAGGUCGGGUUGCGGCGUAUUGUUUGGUCGAGGCUGGGCAUGACCCAGGAAAGUGUGUCCGGCUGGAGUUAAUCGAGCGUGGUGGGUAAGUUGGUGCACCCCUGUAGGGAAGAAAACAUAUAUCGAUAGCCUAUCCUACGACAACGCAUACUCGGAGUUGUAUCCCGAUCGAUACAACUAGAACUGGAUACUUGAGGUGAUAACUGGAUAGUAUGGAUCUGGGAUUGCUUUCUCGCAGGGAGUCGAGAAAAGAUCUCUGGCCGAGGUUGUUAACACUAUUACUACUUUACUUUAUGCUACUCUUAUCUCUUCUGAUGCUGCAAGACGCUUGAAGAUACUAGUUUUCGAUAGGCUAGGCUUUUCCCCUUCUCUUCUGGCAUUCUGCAUUUCAGUCCACAUAUACUACCCAUUUCAUUGACACCGAUGCAUAUGUAGUGUAGAUCCUUGCUUGCGAGUACUUUGGAUGAGUACUCACGGUUGCUUUGCUCCCCCUUUCCCCCCCUUUUCCAUUCUUCUCGGAUGUCGCAACCAAAUGGUGGAGCCCAGGAUCCAGACGCCACCUUCGACGAUGACUGCUACUACACUGAGGGUCCCUACGUGGAGGCCGUUGAUGACCAGGAGUAGUUAGGAGGCUCCCAGGCAGGAGGCCUUGCCUUUUCGAUCGAUGUUGCUUUUGUGCUAGCUUUCUUAAGGCAGACUUGUCUAACCUAUGUCUGUACUUAGAUAUUGUUGCUUCCGCUGACUCUUGUGUAUUCGAGCUUAUGUAUUCGAGUCCUCGAGGCCCAUGGCUUGUAAUAUAAAGCUUGUAUUAUUUUAUUUGUGUCUAGAUUUGUGUUGUGAUAUCUUCCCGUGAGUCCUUGAUCUUGAUCGUACACAUUUGCGCGUUUGAUUAGUGUGCGAUUGAAUCGAGGGCGUCACAAAUGUCUUUCCUUCGGAUCUGUCAUAGAAGGUGUACCCAACAGUCUCCUUUGGGUAUCCUAUGAAGACACAUUUCUCCGAUUUGGGUUCGAGCUUAUCAG
rnacentral:lncRNA from 1 species